rnacentral:rRNA from 1 species
AUUGAACGCUGGCGGCACGCUUAACACAUGCAAGUCGAGCGGUAACAUGACUAGUAGCAAUACUAGUUGAUGACGAGCGGCGGACGGGUGAGUAACACGUAGGAACUUGCCCAGUAGUGGGGGACAACCAAGGGAAACUUUGGCUACUACCGCAUAUUCUCGAGAGAGGAAAGCUGCCGCAAGGUGGCGCUAUUGGAGAGGCCUGCGUCCGAUUAGCCAGUUGGUGAGGUAAAGGCUCACCAAGGCGAGGAUCGGUAACUGGUCUGAGAGGACGACCAGGCACACGGGGACUGAGACACGGCCCAGACUCCUACGGGAGGCAGCAGUGGGGAAUCUUGGACAAUGGGGGCAACCCUGAUCCAGCGAUGCCGCGUGAGUGAAGAAGGCCUUCGGGUCGUAAAGCUCUUUAGGCUGGGAAGAAGGUUGGUAGUUUAAGAGAUAAUCAAUUUGACUGUACCAGCAGAAUAAGCCCCGGCAAACUCUGUGCCAGCCGCCGCCGUAA